AUGGAGACAUACCCAAAGCUUCCGCCCCUCUCCCCGACCUUAUCUGAGAUGUUUGAUUAUGUCAUCCAUUCAUCCAUGACUGAGCCACAGCUCUGCAGGCCAAAUUCUGACUUAACUUCUGGGGCAGCUGCAAAUGCAAAAUGUGGCUGCCCACAGCCACACUCCAACUAAGCUCCUAUUUUUCUAAUGGGUGUUAGCAUGUCCAUGGGUGUGUUGGUCUGCAUAAAUUAACUCUAGAAAUAAGAGUAAGUUUGAAUAAUUGACUCACCGAGGAGAGGUGAAGUCAUGGUUGCUCUGAAUGCACCCAAAAUGUAUUAGCUCUUUCCAAUUCUUUGGGUAGGGGCAUUUCACAGGUGCUCAGUCUGCUGCUGUGAAGGCUCUCCCUGCUCAGGGCAGUUUCCCCGGGCCAUCUCCCAGGCAGCCUGGCUCUGGAGAGGCUGAAGCACAAUUCUGGAGGCCAGAACCCCCAAGUCAGGAUGCUGGCAGAGCCAGUUCCUCCUGAAGGCUUGAGUUCCAGAUGCCAUCAGGAUGCUGGCCAGGCUUCCCUGGAUUGAAGGCCCCACCAAUGUGUCCUGGAGCUCAGCUUCCCCAGAGAUACACCCUACUAGGGAAAGAGAGAGGCAGACUGGGAGUAUGGACCAACCAGUCAACGCCCAUGUUCAGCAGGGAAGCAAUUACAGAAGCCAGACCUUCUACCUUCUGCAACCCACAAUGACCCUGGGUCCAUGCUCCCAGACGGAUGGAGAAUGAGAAAGCUAUCAAGGGAGGGGGUGGGAUAUGGAGAUUGGGUGGUGGGAAUUGUGUGGAG